rnacentral:rRNA from 1 species
GACGAACGCUGGCGGCGUGCUUAACACAUGCAAGUCGUACGGUAAGGCCCUUUCGGGGGUACACGAGUGGCGAACGGGUGAGUAACACGUGAGUAACCUGCCCACAACUUUGGGAUAACGCUAGGAAACUGGUGCGAAUACUGGAUAUGUGCUACUGCUGCAUGGUGGGGGUUGGAAAGCUCCGGCGGUUGUGGAUGGACUCGCGGCCUAUCAGCCUGUUGGUGGGGUAGUGGCCGACCAAGGCGGCGACGGGUAGCCGGCCUGGGAGGGUGACCGGGCACCAUUGGGCUGAGGUUCGGGCCCGUCUCCUACCGGGGGCCAUCGGGGGGAAUCUUGCCCCAAUGGGCCGAGCCCGAUGCAACCACCCCCCGUGCGGGAAGGCCGGCUUUCGGUUGUAAACCGGCUUCAGCCGGGACCGAGCUUUUUGUGACGGUACCUGCAGAAGAAGCACCGGCUAACUACGUG